UACGUAUGGUGCAAGCGUUAUCCGGAUUUACUGGGUGUAAAGGGUGCGUAGGUGGCAAGGCAAGUCUGAAGUGAAAAUCCGGGGCUCAACUCCGGAACUGCUUUGGAAACUGUUUAGCUGGAGUACAGGAGAGGUAAGUGGAAUUCCUAGUGUAGCGGUGAAAUGCGUAGAUAUUAGGAGGAACACCAGUGGCGAAGGCGACUUACUGGACUGCUACUGACACUGAGGCACGAAAGCGUGGGGAGCAAACAGG
rnacentral:rRNA from 1 species